CUGCGGGCUCCUCCUGGGUCUUGGGGCGCCGGCGUGGCGCGACUCUCAGUCUCCCUUUUCUCUUGCCGUCUCUCUGCAACGGUGCGCUCUCCCCCUCGCUUCUUCCAGUACCCGACCGCCAGAUGAGAUCCUUGGGAGAAAAAUAUGUGAGCGCUCACACGAUUCCUUUCUCUGCGCGCCGCGAGCGCUGGCGCUGGGCUCGCUCCUCUCUUUCGCGCUCCCGUGCGCGCCGCGCCUCUCCAGCCCCUCGCUUCCUGCUCAGCAGCGCCUGCGAGUGCCCUCAGUAGCCAUUAUUCACUGGCCGCCGGGGGGACAGGAGGAGGAGGAACAUGCAGAGCAGGAUGCCCAUUCUGCAAGACAUCCCACAUAAGACUGACUUCACAGCCAUCUUUUGAGUCAUAUGUCCAGAGUCAUCUGGAGCAACCAGAAACUGCAGCUUGGAGAACAGACAUAGGCCUGGAUGCCUCUACACAGCAGUAGAAAAGUAACUAAGACACCUAUCAAUUGUGUGAGGAGGACUGGAGAGAUGGCUCAGCAGUUAAGAACAUUGACUCCUCUUCCAAAAGUCCUGAGUUCAAUUCCCAGCAACCACAUGGUAGCCCACAACCAUUUGUAAUGGGAUUGGAUGCCCUCUUCUGGUGUGUCUGGAGAAAGUGACAGUGUACACACAUACACAAAAUAAAUGAAUCCUUUACAAACAAAUUGUGUGAGGAAAUAGAAACAUGAUCCUUCUGUGGCCUUUGAGAAGUGUUAGGUUUGAUUUGAUCACUGGAAUAGAAGUCUCCUGAUGGCUUUAUAGAGAGAGGAGAAAGAGCAGAGUCAGAGAUACUCACACUGCCAUCAUGGUGUGGUGCACCAGGGCCUGUGCUAUGCUGGUUGGGCCCUAUACUUCCAAAACUGUAUGCCCAAAACAAACCUCUGUUGAAGUGACCUAUCUCGAGUACAUGUUAUAGUAAUGAAGAGUUAAUAUAAUUCUCCAAAUAUGUCAGUGUGGAAACUGAAGUUCAUUAUGUUUCUAAGCCUUAGUUUCUUUUCCUUUAAAAUGGGAAGAGCAUCAGGGAAUUCAUCAUGUAAAGGAUGAAUAGAAAUUCAUCUUCAUGAAGUUUGCCAUGACAUGUCACUCCUGACAAUAGUCAUUUCCUCCUGCUCUGUGAGGUCUGAGUCUUCCAUCUGAGCUCAGUAUGGAAUUCCAGUUUCCUGGUGAUGCUCUGAAGACUGAAUGUGGAAACUCUGCUUCACUGUGCUUUCAGAUCAAAAGCUCCUAUACUUGGUGCCAUGAGGAAGUGACCACCAAUACAUGCCCUGGGCUACAGUGUCUGUCUUUUCAUGACCUCCGAAUGGCAUUCGAGGGGCCCUUUGAUCAGGCCAGAAACUAGGGUUCAAAGGGGCUCAAGCUGAGAAAGGUGGCAGCCAGGGUGAGAUUCUACCUCCAAAUAAGGAAGAGCCUGCUUACAGGCAGAGCUGCCCAGAAAUGGAAGGUGCAAGCAGCAACUGUGGUGUGAGUGGCCUGUGGAGGAAGCCAUGUAAGCGGAGGAAGCCGCAGCUGCAGCUGCCGUAGCUGGGGCACUCACUACCAGAGACUGCUGGCAGCCAGGGUCUUGGGACUCCACCACAGCCACAUGGGCAGGAGUGUAUUCCAGGAGGCCAGAGCUGGGCCAGAGCAAGCGCUACUGCUCCAGGAUCCCACACAGCAGGGCUGGGUGAAAAGCCCCGCUCCUCCUCAGCGUGUAAAAUAGUUAUUUUUCUAGAGGAAUACCUACUUUUAAUUUUUAAAGAGGGGGUAAGUAGUAAGUACACAAAGCUGAAAGAAAACAAACGUUCCCAGCUUCCUUCACUCUAUGAAUUUCUGUAAAUUCUUUCUGAUUUCUUCUAUAUGCUUCAAUUUGAGCUAGAAAUUUCCAUCACUAAAGUAUCUUCAACUA